CCAUGCCGCGUGUGUGAAGAAGGCUUUUGGUUGUAAAGCACUUUAAGCGGGGAGGAGGCUACUUAGAUUAAUACUCUAGGAUAGUGGACGUUACCCGCAGAAUAAGCACCGGCUAACCCUGUGCCAGCAGCCGCGGUAAUACAGAGGGUGCGAGCGUUAAUCGGAUUUACUGGGCGUAAAGCGUGCGUAGGUGGUCUUUUAAGUCGGAUGUGAAAUCCCUGAGCUUAACUUAGGAAUUGCAUUCGAUACUGGGAGACUAGAGUAUGGGAGAGGAUGGUAGAAUUCCAGGUGUAGCGGUGAAAUGCGUAGAGAUCUGGAGGAAUACCGAUGGCGAAGCAGCCAUCUGGCCUAAUACUGACACUGAGGCACGAAAGCAUGGGGAGCAACAGGAUUAGAUACCUGGUAGUCCAUGCCGUAAACGAUGUCUACUACCGUUGGGGUCUUUGAGACUUUAUGGCGCAC
rnacentral:rRNA from 1 species